GUAAAUGUAGUUUAACAAAAACUUUAGAUUGUGAUUCUGAAAAUAAGGGUUAAACUCCCCUCAUUCACC
rnacentral:tRNA from 1 species